rnacentral:rRNA from 1 species
GAAGCUUCCUUCGGGAAGUGGAUUAGCGGCGGACGGGUGAGUAACACGUGGGUAACCUGCCUCAAAGUGGGGGAUAGCCUUCCGAAAGGAAGAUUAAUACCGCAUAACAUAAGAGAAUCGCAUGAUUUUCUUAUCAAAGAUUUAUUGCUUUGAGAUGGACCCGCGGCGCAUUAGCUAGUUGGUAAGGUAACGGCUUACCAAGGCAACGAUGCGUAGCCGACCUGAGAGGGUGAUCGGCCACAUUGGAACUGAGACACGGUCCAGACUCCUACGGGAGGCAGCAGUGGGGAAUAUUGCGCAAUGGGGGAAACCCUGACGCAGCAACGCCGCGUGGGUGAUGAAGGUCUUCGGAUUGUAAAGCCCUGUUUUCUGGGACGAUAAUGACGGUACCAGAGGAGGAAGCCACGGCUAACUACGUGCCAGCAGCCGCGGUAAUACGUAGGUGGCGAGCGUUGUCCGGAUUUACUGGGCGUAAAGGGUGCGUAGGCGGAUGUUUAAGUGGGAUGUGAAAUCCCCGGGCUUAACCUGGGGGCUGCAUUCCAAACUGGAUAUCUAGAGUGCAGGAGAGGAAAGCGGAAUUCCUAGUGUAGCGGUGAAAUGCGUAGAGAUUAGGAAGAACACCAGUGGCGAAGGCGGCUUUCUGGACUGUAACUGACGCUGAGGCACGAAAGCGUGGGUAGCAAACAGGAUUAGAUACCCUGGUAGUCCACGCCGUAAACGAUGGAUACUA